GGUGACAAACCCUAUGCUGCUAAAGGUAGGAGAAAGUGUUGAUAAACACAGCUGGUGACAAACCCUAUGCUGCAAAAGGUAGGAGAAAGUGUUGAUGCACACAGCUGAUGAUAAACUCUAUGCUGCUAAAGGUAGGAGAAAGUGUUGAUACACACAGCUGAUGACAAAACCUGUGCUGCUAAAGGUAGGAGAAAGUGUUGAUAGGCUGAUGACAAACCCUGUGCUGCUAAAGGUAGGAGAAAGUGUUGAU